rnacentral:lncRNA from 1 species
AUGGCCGCCUCCGUUGGAGAUUAUAAGAUGGCCGCCCAAAAUGGCCGCCCAAGAUGGCGCCCCAGUAUAGACAGGCAUUGGUGCAUACUGGUUUAUACUGGUCCACACUGGUUUAUACUGGUCCAUACUGGUUUAUACUGGUCCAUACCGGUCCAUACCGGUCCAUACUGGUCCGUAUUGGUCCAUACUGGUCUAUACUGGUCCAUACUGGUCCGUAUUGGUCCAUACUGGUCCAUACUGGUCCGUACUGGUCCGUACUGGUCCAUACUGGUUUAUACUGGUCCAUACUGGUUUAUACUGGUUUAUACUGGUCCGUACUGGUCCAUACUGGUCCAUACUGGUCCAUUCUGGUCCAUACUGGUCCAUACUGGUUCAUACUGGUCCAUACCGCUCCAUACCGGUCCGUACUGGUCCAUACCGGUCUGUACUGGUCCAUACCGGUCCAUACUAGUCCGUUCUGGUCCGUACUGGUCCAUACUGGUCCAUACUGGUCCAUACUGGUCCGUACUGGUCCAUACUGGUCCAUACUGGUCCGUAUGCUGGUACGUACUGGUCUGUACUGGUCCAUGCUGGUCCGUACUGGUCUGUACUGGUCCAUACUGGCCCAUACUGGUCCAUACUGGCCCAUACUGGUCCGUACUGGUCCAUACUGGUCCAUACUGGUCCGUACUGGUCCGUACUGGUCCAUACUGGUCCAUACUGGUCCGUACUGGUCCGUACUGGUCCGUACUGGUCCAUACUGGUCCAUACUGGUCUAUACUGGUCCAUACUGGUCCAUACUGGUCCAUUCUGGUCCGUACUGGUUUAUACUGGUCCAUACUGGUCCAUACUGGUUUCCAGCCCCAGGACCUGGUGCUGCAAUGGGAGCCCCUGGAGGAGAACUGGGAACCGCCCGGGGAGGAGGUGAGAGCCAAAAACCCCCAAAAUCACCCCAAAAAUAACCCAAAAACCCCCAAAAUCACCCCAAAAAUAACCCAAAAACCCCCAAAAUCAGCCCAAAAAUAA